rnacentral:rRNA from 1 species
AUUCGUAGGUGGCGAGCGUUGUCCGGAAUUACUGGGUGUAAAGCGCGUGUAGGCGGUCCUGCAAGUGGUGCGUGAAAGCGCUCGGCUCAACCGGGCGAGGACGUGGGCGAACUGCAGGGCUAGAGGCAGGUAGAGGCGUGUGGAAUUCCGGGUGUAGUGGUGAAAUGCGUAGAGAUCCGGAGGAACACCAGUGGCGAAGGCGACACGCUGGGCCUGGCCUGACGCUGAGAGGCGAAAGCAUGGGGAGCGAACGGGAUUAGAAACCCCGGUAGUCCAUGCCGUAAACGAUGCUGACUAGGUGUGGCGGGUAUGAACUCCUGCCGUGCCGGAGCCAACGUGGUAAGUCAGCCACCUGGGGACUACGGCCGCAAGGUUAAA